GAUGAACGCUGGCGGCGUGCCUAAUACAUGCAAGUCGAGCGAACGGACGAGAAGCUUGCUUCUCUGAUGUUAGCGGCGGACGGGUGAGUAACACGUGGAUAACCUACCUAUAAUACUGGGAUAACUUCGGGAAACCGGAGCUAAUACCGGAUAAUAUUUUGAACCGCAUGGUUCAAAAGUGAAAGACGGUCUUGCUGUCACUUAUAGAUGGAUCCGCGCUGCAUUAGCUAGUUGGUAAGGUAACGGCUUACCAAGGCAAGGAUGCAUAGCCGACCUGAGAGGGUGAUCGCCGACACUGGAACUGAGACACGGUCCAGACUCCUACGGGAGGCAGCAGUAGGGAAUGUUCCGCAAUGGGCGAAAGCCUGACGGAGCAACGCCGCGUGAGUGAUGAAGGUCUUCGGAUCGUAAAACUCUGUUAUUAGGGAAGAACAUAUGUGUAAGUAACUGUGCACAUCUUGACGGUACCUAAUCAGAAAGCCACGGCUAACUACGUG
rnacentral:rRNA from 1 species